AAGUCAUAACAAGGUUUCUGUAGGUGAACCGAUGCAAGAAGGAUCCAUUAUUGAAUUGUGAAAAAUGGGGAGGUCGCUUUCGAGCACUCCUCUACAUUCUUUAUUCCUAAACACCUGUGAAUCGUUGCUGAGUUCGCUCAGUGGCACCAAUUUAUACACACUUUAUAGUUUUGAACGUAAAAAACAAAAAACAAAAAUAUAA
rnacentral:misc_RNA from 1 species